CAAAUUUGAGGCAGAACCAGAGGAAGUAAAAUGAAGAAGAAGCAGCGCGCGAGGGUCAUUUUUUAGAGAAAAAUUGGAGAUUAAACUAUGUUUAAUCUUGAUUUAAUUAAUCAGCGUGUAUUAAUUUGGUGAUGUUUAAGCAUGGAAACGCUGUAAUCAGCUUAAGCGAGACAAGUUCUCCUCUACCCUUGUGAUCUAUUUCCAUUUGCGGGAAUGCAAGAAAUGGAUGAAACGGCCGUGUAAAGAUAAGCUCUUAACCCUCUCUUCCUAAUCUUUAAUUCCCGUGAAAGACCCCGUGAUUUCCUGUAUUUUAUCACCUCCCUUACUUUAAUUCGGCACCUUGCCUUAUUGGUUGAACUAUUAUUCAUUUGUUUUAAUUUAAAUUAAAUCCGAGGCUUUUAUAAUUUUAUUCGUUGUGAGCCUACGGGGAUUUGUACCGCCCCCAUUCCUUUCGGAAUGAUGCUGAACCCAGUUGGGGAACUAGGUUCCUAGUCGUGCAGGUUUUUUCUCGGAUUUAGUUAUGAUUUGGUUAGAGCUAUUGAGCAGAGGGGCAGGGGUCAACCGUUUAAUGACGUUGGGGUAGACUACGGUACGGCCCUAAAGUGGACCGUCGGGCGGACACCCCUAGUCACUAGCCGUUGACCGAUGCCGGACACUGCUGAUUAGCUCUGUCGGUAUGUGAUUUACUGCAUGAUUAGAUACCUUGUAUUACUGUUCAUGACUUGAUAUGCACAUGGGUACGAGAUGCAUAUUGGGAUAUUCAUUUAUUGAGUAUGCUUGGACACGGACAUUCUAGCUUGGUUAUGUUGUAUCCAGCGCGACAUAUGCAUGGCGUGUGGUUUACUAUGUGGGCGGAGCAUGGCCUGAUGCCUGGAUAUAUGGGCGCCUUGUAUCACGUUGAUGCUCAUUACGCCAUUGCAUUUUAUGUGCAUUGCAUAGAUACUGGUAGUAUUUAGUUCUCGGACGGAAGUACCGUUCCGAGGGAGCCUAUGGCUCGGCUGUCGGGAGUACCGACAGGGACAGGUGUCGGGAGUACCGACAUGGACGGGUGAUGGGAGUACCGACCCGGGACAGCGUGCACAGAUUGGCUAGAGGUAUUUGUUACCGUCCAGGGCAGCGACAGGUUGGUAUGGGACUUGGGUGCCAGGUGUCUUGUGUGGGCCCCAAGGACCGGUAUAUGCUUUUAUUAUGCUAUGCUAUUGUGUUGUAGCGUCUCAUGGCUUGUGUGUACCUGGGGGUUUAUUCUGGGUUGAGAUUUCUGGUUUUGUGUAG